CACCACAGAGCCCCAAGUAACCACCACACAGACUCACCACAGACUCCCCACAGAGACUCACCACAGAGCCCCAAGUUUGUGAGGAGAAGACCGGUUUGGAGGCUGAGGCAGUGUGUGAAACAGCACCCCUGUGUGGAGAGGCAUGAUAACUACACCUUCCCCAACCAGGACAGUGGGGACUGACUGACACACACACUUUCCCUCUGAGAGACCAGGCACCUGUUAGCACCAAAACACCUUUUAGACAGAACUAUUUUAUUAAAUCUUUUUAAACUGUGUGAUUCUUAUACGUGUGUGUGUGUGUGUGUUGAAAUACUGCAGUGUAUAUUGUGUAAUGUAAAGCUUCUUGUGUGUUAGCUGCUGUAAGUUCCUCUGUAUCACC
rnacentral:lncRNA from 1 species